CCUUAGAUUACGCACACGCUCUUUGGCGGAACUCUAUGCUAAUGAAGCCGGCUGCAGGGCUGAUGGUGGUGCUGUCCUCCGCUCCCGCCUCUUCACCUCCCCACAUGCAGGGUGACAUCCUUCAGUCACUCCUGCAGCCUGAACAUGGCCGGAUCGCAGCUCCUCUCGGUCUUUACCCUCUUUGUCUUCUUCCCUGUCGUGCGUGUUUUUGGAGAGGUUGUAAACUUGGCGGACUCUGUGCAGUUAACGGUGAAUGGGGUCUGUGCGGGCGGUGACAUGCAGCUGGUCCGGGUCCGGAGGACAGACACCAGCUCUCGGUCAGUCGCAAACCGUGUCGGCGGUGUAUGGAAGCCCGCUGAUGACUACAAGGACCGGAUUCAUCACGUUUCAGCCUCCAGCGUCAACCUGACCAGAGUGAACUUCAACGAUGAUGCGUUUUAUGAGUUCACUUGUAAAAGUGAUCUUAUGAAAACCAUCCAGCUGACUGUGAUCUUCCCCUAUGAUGUGAGAGUGUCUGAGGGGGAGACAGCCAGGAUCCCCUGCUACUCCUCCACGGAGGGGCUGCAGGGGGGGAGCGCACGGUGGGAGAGGGACGGGGAGCUGGUUCUGGGUCAGAACCGCUCCUCCGGACAGCCCGAGGGGAGACUGUCGGUGUCACCUGACUGGAUCCAGACUGGAGACUUGUCCCUGACUGUGAAGGACGCUCAGCUGGAGGACGGAGGGAACUACGUUUGUUACACCGUGGAUGGAAACGGAGAGAAAACCAGAGGAAGAAGUCCUGCUGCUGUGAAGGUGACCGUCCAGAGGAGCCGCCCUGCUCCCACUGGUACCCUGCAGCCGACACCGGGACCGGACGAGGAGCAGACUGGACCUGGACUCAUCGUCAGUAUAAUCUUAAAUGUGCUGCUCUUAGCUGUAGUUCUCUUCUGCGUGGUAUGUUUGUUUCGUGUUCGUACAACACGUUCUCAUUCCCAACGCGUUGGGAAUGAGAACGUGUUGGUUCGUAAGGCCCGCAGAGCUGCAGGUGUCAGACCCCCCGCAGAUACGGAGAUGGAGCCUCUGGGUGGAGAUCCUGAUCACGUUCCUAAUGGAGGGGCCCACAGAGCGGAGCCAUGACACCCAGAAAUCAGACCCACAUGUUAAUUAUUGUGAUUAUUACGACCUGAUUAAGAUCAACACUGGGAUGGUUGAUGUCACUCAGCUUCACACUCCUCAACAACACAGUUUAUUCCACUUCCUGCUCGCUUUUAAAUAUAUCGUAUCUGAGUGUCACAUCUUCUGCUUCUUUAACAAUAAAAGUGAUCUGAUUUUUAAAAUAUGACCAUCUUUUGUUUAUGUUCGUGUGUGUGUGUGUGUGUGUGUGGAGGGAGAGAGAGAUGAGCGGGAAGCUGAUACUGUAUCGUGUGUUUCCCUUUUUCAGCGGAUUUUUCUGCUACUGCAGAUAAUUUUGUCAACGUAUAAUAUAUUAGUUGUGUGACUACAUCAAAAUGUGCUUUCUCAACUUCUAAAGUUUUGAUUUGAGUGGGCGCUGCUCCU
rnacentral:lncRNA from 1 species